UUCGAAUUGCAUACCACUCCGGCCAAAUGUAAAGUGUCGUAACUCUUUCACCAAGGCGAGAGGAAUUAAUUUCUUAACGGGACCCCGUAACUUUUCUAUCGUAUCUAAUAUUCCAAUUCACCGUCGCUAGAUGGCAGCGCGACCCGAAUUGUGUAUUCGUUUAGUCGUAAAUUCGCGUUAUAUAAGGGAUUAUUUUCAGGUUAUAAUACUCGAGUACUGGUGAUAUCAAUCAGAAUAAUUUGAGACGAUUUAUAAAUAUGUGUGGACUCCAGAAUGUGACGCGAUGAAGACGAUCGCGACGAAUAUACUAUUUUUGUUGCCGCUAUAUACAAGAUAUGCGGAUGAGGUACACGAUUGAGCAUCUCAAAUUUCAACGAAAUAAAGAUCUUGAUAUUUAUUUCUCGAAAACAAAAGCGACAUUUUCAUUACUCUCGAGAAUAUACACAUGGGCACAAGAGGAAAGAAGGAAUUUUGCAGAAUGCAUCGCAAAUGCAUCCUGUUGGUUCGAUCGUACGACUCUGACCUUGUCUGGAUGUUCACCCCGCGCGGUUCGUUCGCUCGAUGCUGGUUGAAUCGACUUUGGGGCCGAGUCGGCUCUCACUUAUGUAAUUCGAAGCGGGUCACGGCCAGACACUCGAAAAACCCGCCUUUCUCUGCCGACAUUUGAAUCGGCCGCAUUGCAGAACGCUAGGAUGCUGGACCAGUCGUUUGGCAAGAACAUGUUGGCUAAAAAUUAAUAACAAGUAUUAUCCGCAAUAAGAGAUAUCGAUCGACGGAUACCAUGAAACGAUCAUAAUCAUCUUAGUAGCAAUGAGGAACGGAACUGGUUUUAUGAGAAUAUUAUCCGAUAUGUUGAGGUGAACGUCAAUUAUGAAGGUUCGUGUAUUAAACCAGCAAUGUCACGCACGAUAUUACCGGCUGGAAACGAAUCUUUUCUAGAAGGAAGAAACAUAAAAGUAAAUUGGAAAGCGUGUGGAAUUAAAUUGGAAUCAUGCAUGCCAUGGUGCAAGAUGAUUUUUUAGAAUGGCACACGAUCGUAAAAAGCCGGUUUUACGCAUACGAAAUAAUUUAUGUAAUUCAGAGCCGGGGGUCGUGGUAAAAUUAGCCAACCCCGUGUACAAAUAUGCGAAGCGGCUUGGGCGCCGCCAUCCGUGUAUUUACAAACGCAUCAUCAUUCUAUAAGUGUAAGUUUUACGAUCAAACAUUCAUGGAAUCGGAUCAUAUUAUAC